rnacentral:rRNA from 1 species
AGAACUCCUACGGGAGGCAGCAGUGAGGAAUAUUGGUCAAUGGGCGAGAGCCUGAACCAGCCAAGUAGCGUGCAGGAUGACGGCCCUAUGGGUUGUAAAACUGCUUUUAUAAGGGAAUAAAGUGAGCCUCGUGAGGCUUUUUGCAUGUACCUUAUGAAUAAGGACCGGCUAAUUCCGUGC